rnacentral:rRNA from 1 species
GGUUAAGCGACUAAGCGUACACGGUGGAUGCCCUGGCAGUCAGAGGCGAUGAAGGACGUGCUAAUCUGCGAAAAGCGUCGGUAAGGUGAUAUGAACCGUUACAGCCGGCGAUGUCCGAAUGGGGAAACCCAGUGUGAUUCGUCACACUAUCGUUAACUGAAUACAUAGGUUAACGAGGCGAACCGGGGGAACUGAAACAUCUAAGUACCCCGAGGAAAAGAAAUCAACCGAGAUUCCCCCAGUAGCGGCGAGCGAACGGGGAGCAGCCCAGAGUCUGAAUCAGCUUGUGUGUUAGUGGAACGGUCUGGAAAGUCCGACGGUACAGGGUGAUAGUCCCGUACACCAAAAUGCACAGGCUGUGAACUCGAAGAGUAGGGCGGGACACGUGGUAUCCUGUCUGAAUAUGGGGGGACCAUCCUCCAAGGCUAAAUACUCCUGACUGACCGAUAGUGAACCAGUACCGUGAGGGAAAGGCGAAAAGAACCCCGGCGAGGGGAGUGAAAAAGAACCUGAAACCGUGUACGUACAAGCAGUGGGAGCACCUUCGGGUGUGACUGCGUACCUUUUGUAUAAUGGGUCAGCGACUUAUAUUCUGUAGCAAGGUUAACCGUAUAGGGGAGCCGCAGGGAAACCGAGUCUUAACUGGGCGUUAAGUUGCAGGGUAUAGACCCGAAACCCGGUGAUCUAGCCAUGGGCAGGUUGAAGGUUGGGUAACACUAACUGGAGGACCGAACCGACUAAUGUUGAAAAAUUAGCGGAUGACUUGUGGCUGGGGGUGAAAGGCCAAUCAAACCGGGAGAUAGCUGGUUCUCCCCGAAAGCUAUUUAGGUAGCGCCUCGUGAACAUCUUCGGGGGUAGAGCACUGUUUCGGCUAGGGGGUCAUCCCGACUUACCAACCCGAUGCAAACUACGAAUACCGAAGAAUGUUAUCACGGGAGACACACGGCGGGUGCUAACGUCCGUCGUGAAGAGGGAAACAACCCAGACCGCCAGCUAAGGUCCCAAAGUCACAGUUAAGUGGGAAACGAUGUGGGAAGGCACAGACAGCCAGGAUGUUGGCUUAGAAGCAGCCAUCAUUUAAAGAAAGCGUAAUAGCUCACUGGUCGAGUCGGCCUGCGCGGAAGAUGUAACGGGGCUAAACUGUGCACCGAAGCUGCGGCAGCGACACUAUGUGUUGUUGGGUAGGGGAGCGUUCUGUAAGCCUGCGAAGGUGGCCUGUGAGGGUUGCUGGAGGUAUCAGAAGUGCGAAUGCUGACAUAAGUAACGAUAAUGCGGGUGAAAAGCCCGCACGCCGGAAGACCAAGGGUUCCUGUCCAACGUUAAUCGGGGCAGGGUGAGUCGACCCCUAAGGCGAGGCCGAAAGGCGUAGUCGAUGGGAAACAGGUUAAUAUUCCUGUACUUGGUGUUACUGCGAAGGGGGGACGGAGAAGGCUAUGUUAGCCGGGCGACGGUUGUCCCGGUUUAAGCAUGUAGGCGGAGGUUCCAGGUAAAUCCGGUACCUUUUUAACGCUGAGGUGUGAUGACGAGGCACUACGGUGCUGAAGUAACAAAUGCCCUGCUUCCAGGAAAAGCCUCUAAGCAUCAGGUAACAUUGAAUCGUACCCCAAACCGACACAGGUGGUCAGGUAGAGAAUACCAAGGCGCUUGAGAGAACUCGGGUGAAGGAACUAGGCAAAAUGGUGCCGUAACUUCGGGAGAAGGCACGCUGAUAUGUAGGUGAAGCCCCUGCGGGUGGAGCUGAAAUCAGUCGAAGAUACCAGCUGGCUGCAACUGUUUAUUAAAAACACAGCACUGUGCAAACACGAAAGUGGACGUAUACGGUGUGACGCCUGCCCGGUGCCGGAAGGUUAAUUGAUGGGGUUAUCCGUAAGGAGAAGCUCUUGAUCGAAGCCCCGGUAAACGGCGGCCGUAACUAUAACGGUCCUAAGGUAGCGAAAUUCCUUGUCGGGUAAGUUCCGACCUGCACGAAUGGCGUAAUGAUGGCCAGGCUGUCUCCACCCGAGACUCAGUGAAAUUGAACUCGCUGUGAAGAUGCAGUGUACCCGCGGCAAGACGGAAAGACCCCGUGAACCUUUACUAUAGCUUGACACUGAACAUUGAGCCUUGAUGUGUAGGAUAGGUGGGAGGCUUUGAAGCGUGGACGCCAGUCUGCGUGGAGCCAACCUUGAAAUACCACCCUUUAAUGUUUGAUGUUCUAACGUUGGCCCCUGACCGGGGUUGCGGACAGUGUCUGGUGGGUAGUUUGACUGGGGCGGUCUCCUCCCAAAGAGUAACGGAGGAGCACGAAGGUUAGCUAAUCCUGGUCGGACAUCAGGAGGUUAGUGCAAUGGCAUAAGCUAGCUUGACUGCGAGCGUGACGGCGCGAGCAGGUGCGAAAGCAGGUCAUAGUGAUCCGGUGGUUCUGAAUGGAAGGGCCAUCGCUCAACGGAUAAAAGGUACUCCGGGGAUAACAGGCUGAUACCGCCCAAGAGUUCAUAUCGACGGCGGUGUUUGGCACCUCGAUGUCGGCUCAUCACAUCCUGGGGCUGAAGUAGGUCCCAAGGGUAUGGCUGUUCGCCAUUUAAAGUGGUACGCGAGCUGGGUUUAGAACGUCGUGAGACAGUUCGGUCCCUAUCUGCCGUGGGCGCUGGAGAAUUGAGGGGGGCUGCUCCUAGUACGAGAGGACCGGAGUGGACGCAUCACUGGUGUUCGGGUUGUCAUGCCAAUGGCAUUGCCCGGUAGCUAAAUGCGGAAGAGAUAAGUGCUGAAAGCAUCUAAGCACGAAACUUGCCCCGAGAUGAGUUCUCCCUGAGACUUUAAGUCUCCUGAAGGAACGUUAAAGACGAUGACGUUGAUAGGUCGGGUGUGUAAGCGUAGCGAUACGUUGAGCUAACCGAUACUAAUGAACCGUGAGGCUUAACCUU